rnacentral:rRNA from 1 species
AUUGAACGCUGGCGGCAUGCUUUACACAUGCAAGUCGAACGGCAGCGCGGGCUUCGGCCUGGCGGCGAGUGGCGAACGGGUGAGUAAUACAUCGGAACGUGCCCAGUAGUGGGGGAUAGCUCGGCGAAAGCCGGAUUAAUACCGCAUACGACCUGAGGGUGAAAGCGGGGGAUCUUCGGACCUCGCGCUAGUGGAGCGGCCGAUGGCCGAUUAGCUAGUUGGUGGGGUAAAGGCCUACCAAGGCGACGAUCUGUAGCUGGUCUGAGAGGACGACCAGCCACACUGGGACUGAGACACGGCCCAGGCUCCUACGGGAGGCAGCAGUGGGGAAUUUUGGACAAUGGGCGAAAGCCUGAUCCAGCAAUGCCGCGUGUGUGAUGAAGGCCUUCGGGUUGUAAAGCCCUUUUGGCGGGAACGAAACGGACUGUGCCAAUACCACGGUUCGAUGACGGUACCCGCAGAAUAAGCACCGGCUAACUACGUG